UAAAGAAUCUUCCACAAUGGACGAAAGUCUGAUGGAGCAAUAUCGCGUGGGCGAUGAAGGUCGAAAGAUCGUAAAGCCCUUUUCUGAGGGAAGAAUUAUGACGGUACCUUAGGAAUAAGCACCGGCUAACUCCGUGCCAGCAGCCGCGGUAAUACGGAGGGUGCAAGCGUUAUCCGGAAUCAUUGGGCGUAAAGCGCUCGCAGGCGGUUUGUUAAGUUAAGUAUAAAAUCUUGAAGCCCAACUUCAAAUGCGUACUUAAAACUGGCUAACUAGAGUCUUUCAGAGGUGCGUGGAAUUCUGUGUGUAGGGGUAAAAUCCGUAGAUACACAGAGGAACACCAAAAGCGAAGGCAGCGCACUGGGAAAGUACUGACGCUCAGGAGCGAAAGCGUAGGUAGCGA
rnacentral:rRNA from 1 species